CAUAUGCUCGUAAUAGCAUGUGUUCUGUAUAGUGUUUGCGUGCUAUUUAUUCAUUUUGUUUAUCUUUGCCACUAUUGCAGAUGGAGCUAAUUUCAAAAGUAAGAAGCCCAUUUAUUGUGGAUUAUAAAGAUUCCUGGGUUGAAAAGGAGCAGAGUGAAGAGCUUGCGCAUACUUUUGUGGACUAGAUUGACUCUGAAAGAUAAAUAGCAGUAGAGUUGUCCAUGCCCAAGAGUUUGAUGUUUCAGUAACAAUGUUGAAUAUUGCAAUCAUUCUCUACCAUAUCCAUGAGUAUGCACAGUCAUUAUCUGUUCUCAAAAAGUUGUUCCAGAAUA